rnacentral:rRNA from 1 species
CGCGUAGGCGGUCUUUUAAGUCAGGUGUGAAAGCCCGGGGCUUAACCCCGGAAGUGCACUUGAAACUAUAAGACUUGAGUAUGGGAGAGGGAAGUGGAAUUCCUGGUGUAGCGGUGAAAUGCGUAGAUAUCAGGAGGAACACCGGUGGCGAAGGCGACUUCCUGGACCAAUACUGACGCUGAGGCACGAAGGCGUGGGGAGCAAACA